UACAGAGGGUGCAAGCGUUGUUCGGAGUUAUUGGGCGUAAAGCGCGUGUAGGCGGCUUUGCAAGUCGGGUGUGAAAGCCCUCAGCUCAACUGAGGAAGUGCGCCCGAAACUGCAGAGCUUGAGUACCGGAGAGGAUGGCGGAAUUCCCCAAGUAGAGGUGAAAUUCGUAGAUAUGGGGAGGAACACCGGUGGCGAAGGCGGCCAUCUGGACGGAUACUGACGCUGAGACGCGAAAGCGUGGGGAGCAAACAGG
rnacentral:rRNA from 1 species